rnacentral:rRNA from 1 species
UCAAGCUACAAAGGGCAUAUGGUGGAUGCCUUGGCGCCAUGAGCCGAAGAAGGACGCGAUAAGCUGCGAUAAGCCGCGGGGAACUGCAAAUAAGUAUAGAUCCGCGGAUUUCCGAAUGGGGAAACCCGGCAGUCGUAAUGGGCUGUCACCCGAGAGGGAGGGAACCCGGUGAACUGAAACAUCUAAGUAACCGGAGGAAGAGAAAUCAAACGAGAUGCCCGUAGUAGCGGCGAGCGAAGGGGGCAUAGCCCAAACCGUGGGCCUUCGGGCCUGCGGGGUUGUGGACCGGCGUAAACGGACGAGUUGCUAGUAGAAUUACCUGGAAAGGUAAGCGAGAGAGGGUAAAAGCCCCGUAUACGAAAGCGACGAGGACGCGGCCGGGAUCCAGAGUACCACGGAGCACGAGGAAUUCUGUGGGAAGCAGGGGGGACCACCCUCCAAGGCUAAACACUCCAUGGCGACCGAUAGCGCAGAGUACCAUGAGGGAAAGGUGAAAAGAACCCCGGGAGGGGAGUGAAAGAGAACCUGAAACCGUAUGUCUACAAGCAGUCGGAGCGAAAGCGACGGCGUGCCUAUUGAAGAAUGAGCCAACGAGUUACGUGCGCCAGCGAGGUUAAGCAGAAGAUGCGGAGCCGCAGGGAAACCGAGUCUGAAGAGGGCGAGGAGUUGGUGUACGUAGACCCGAAACUGCAGUGAUCUACGCAUGGCCAGAUUGAAACGCAGGUAAAAUUGCGCGGAGGAUCGAACCGGGACAUGUUGAAAAAUGUUCGGAUGAGCUGUGCGUAGGGGUGAAAUUCCAAUCGAACGCAGAGAUAGCUGGUUCUCCUCGAAAUAGCUUUAGGGCUAGCCUCAGGCAGUAAGCGCAGGCGGUAGAGCACUGAUCGGGAUAGGGGCCGUAAUGGCUACCGAACCCUGUCAAACUCCGAAUGGCAGCGCUGCAGAGCCUGGGAGUCAGACUACGAGUGAUAAGAUCCGUGGUCAAAAGGGAAACAGCCCAGACCAUCAGCUAAGGUCCCCAAUGCCGUACUAAGUGGAAAAGGAUGUGGGGUUUCAUAAACAACCAGGAUGUUGGCUCAGAAGCAGCCACCAUUUAAAGAGUGCGUAAUAGCUCACUGGUCGAGAGACCCUGCGCCGAAGAUUCCCGGGGCUAAAGUACGGAACCGAAGCUAUGGAUGCAUCCCUCGGGAUGCGUGGUAGAGGAGCGUUCCCAUCGGGCAGAAGUCGUUCUGGAAGGAACGGUGGACUGGUGGGAAGUGAGAAUGUUGGCAUGAGUAGCGAAAAGAAUGGUGAGAAUCCAUUCCACCGAAAACACAAGGAUUCCUGAGCAACGAUCGUCGUCUCAGGGUAAGUCGGGACCUAAUCCGAGGCAUGGAGCGUAGGAGAUGGACAUCCGGUUGAAAUUCCGGAACCGGCAGGAAUCGUCAAGAGCAAGGGAGUGACACAGGAAGGCAGGCGCGCAUGAGAUUGGAAGUUCAUGUGCAAGCGUGCGACGCGCGGGACAGGCAAACCCAUCCCGCACAAGCGCCAGGCGUGACGCGGAGGGAACCGGAAGGGACCCGAAGGCGCUGGGCCUACACUGUCGAGAAAAGCUUCUAGCAAGAGACCUGCCGCCCGUACCGUAAACCGACACAGGUGUGUGGGGAGAGAAUCCUAAGGUGCGCGGGAGAACCCUCGUUAAGGAACUCGGCAAAAUGUACCCGUAACUUCGGGAUAAGGGUAGCCGUCGGGCGUGAAGGGACCAGCUCCUGGAGCGCCGGAUGGCCGCAGAGAAGAGGCCCAAGCGACUGUUUACCAAAAACUUAGGUGCCUGCCAAAGCGAAAGCUGACGUAUAGGUGCUGACACCUGCCCAGUGCCGGAAGGUUAAGGAAGGAGGUCCGGGUUCGACCCAAAGCCUUCGACCGAAGCCCCGGUGAACGGCGGCCGUAACUAUAACGGUCCUAAGGUAGCGAAAUUCCUUGUCGGGU